rnacentral:lncRNA from 1 species
CUACGCCGUGUUCAAUUCAUCUUCCAUAUUGUUCAGGAUUGAGUAGAAAUUACUGUGGAAACUAUGCAGAAGGCACAUUUUUUGUAUAAACUUGUGUCCAGAAAGAGGGAAAAAUACAUAUAAUUCAAUUGAUGAUGUCGAAAUAUUUAGAAUAUUAUUGAAAGUGACAGCAUUUUUUCAGCGAUAAGAGAAGCAGGUGAGCAUAUCCUAAAUAUAUAUAUUGAGAUGUUAUUUCUUUGGAUAUUUCAUCAGGGUAUUGUCAU